rnacentral:rRNA from 1 species
GACGAACGCUGGCGGCGUGCCUAAUACAUGCAAGUCGAGCGGAACUGGGGGAGCUUGCUCCUUCCAGUUUAGCGGCGGACGGGUGAGUAACACGUGGGCAACCUGCCCUGCAGAUCGGGAUAACUCCGGGAAACCGGUGCUAAUACCGAAUAGUUUGGCGCCUCUCCUGAGGCGCUACGGAAAGACGGUUUCGGCUGUCACUGCAGGAUGGGCCCGCGGCGCAUUAGCUAGUUGGUGGGGUAACGGCCCACCACGGCGACGAUGCGUAGCCGGCCUGGGAGGGGGACCGGCCACACUGGGACUGAGACACGGCCCAGACUCCUACGGGAGGCAGCAGUAGGGAAUCUUCCGCGAUGGACGCAAGUCUGACGGAGCAACGCCGCGUGAGUGACGAAGGUUUUCGGAUCGUAAAACUCUGUUGUGAGGGAAGAACACGUACCAACUAACUAUUGGUACCUUGACGGUACCUCGCCAGAAAGCCACGGCUAACUACGUGCCAGCCGCCGCGGUAA